rnacentral:rRNA from 1 species
UACGUAGGGGGCUAGCGUUGUUCGGAAUUACUGGGCGUAAAGGGCUCGUAGGCGGCCAACUAAGUCAGACGUGAAAUCCCUCGGCUUAACCGGGGAACUGCAUCUGAUACUGGAUGGCUUGAGUUCGGGAGAGGGAGGCGGAAUUCCAGGUGUAGCGGUGAAAUGCGUAGAUAUCUGGAGGAACACCGGUGGCGAAGGCGGCAUCCUGGACCGACACUGACGCUGAGGAGCGAAAGCCAGGGAAGCAAACGGG